rnacentral:tRNA from 1 species
GGCUCGGUAGCUUAGAUAGUAAAGCAUUUGUCUUACGAAUUGCGAGUCGUGGGUUCGAUUCCCACCAGAGCAC